GCCCUUAGAGUUUGAUCCUGGCUCAGGAUGAACGCUGGCGGCGUGCCUAACACAUGCAAGUCGAACGGACUUACAUUGAAGCCUAGCGAUAUGUAAGUUAGUGGCGGACGGGUGAGUAACGCGUGGGUAACCUGCCUUGUACUGGGGGACAACAGUUGGAAACGACUGCUAAUACCGCAUAAGCGCACAGCUUCGCAUGAAGCAGUGUGAAAAACUCCGGUGGUACAAGAUGGACCCGCGUCUGAUUAGCUGGUUGGUGAGGUAACGGCCCACCAAGGCGACGAUCAGUAGCCGGCCUGAGAGGGUGAACGGCCACAUUGGGACUGAGACACGGCCCAAACUCCUACGGGAGGCAGCAGUGGGGAAUAUUGCACAAUGGGGGAAACCCUGAUGCAGCAACGCCGCGUGAGUGAAGAAGUAUUUCGGUAUGUAAAGCUCUAUCAGCAGGAAAGAAAAUGACGGUACCUGACUAAGAAGCCCCGGCUAACUACGUGCCAGCAGCCGCGGUAAUACGUAGGGGGCAAGCGUUAUCCGGAUUUACUGGGUGUAAAGGGAGCGUAGACGGUUUUGCAAGUCUGAAGUGAAAGCCCGGGGCUUAACCCCGGGACUGCUUUGGAAACUGUAGGACUAGAGUGCAGGAGAGGUAAGUGGAAUUCCUAGUGUAGCGGUGAAAUGCGUAGAUAUAUGGAGGAACACCAGUGGCGAAGGCGACGGUCUGGGCCGCAACUGACGCUCAUUCCCGAAAGCGUGGGGAGCAAAUAGGAUUAGAUACCCUAGUAGUCCACGUCGUAAACGAUGGUCACUAAGUGUCGGGGGUCAAACCCCGGUGCUGCAGUCAACGCAAUAAGUGACCCGCCUGAGUAGUACGUUCGCAAGAAUGAAACUCAAAUGAAUUGACGG
rnacentral:rRNA from 1 species